UCUGGGUAGUGCUAAAAUAGGACCCACACCCAAGAUGCUAGCUCGGUAAAUUUUGCUCCAGCGUGUAGCAAUUCGUGUGGGACCCACGGUAGCAGGUAAGACAAUAAACAAAAUCUGUUUUCUCUCCGCACCGUCCCCCGUGCUUAUCUUCUUCCUCUGCCCCUUCGUUCCUGUUCUCCCUACGGUCUCCAGAACAUGAUCCACUUACUUGGGUGGUGGGAGCCCCAUCUAUGCCUCAAGCCGAGCUUCUCCAUGGCACAAGAUGGAACUCAUCCACCGUACCAGGCUGAGAUCCUCCAUGGCGUGACGAAGAGCGUCCCUGCUGGUCGUCCUGCUACCGAGGAAGCGCAAGACGAUGGCCCCCAUCCACCACCGACUUGACCUUGGAUGGUCUGCUUCCAUGGCUCUACAAGCAGCGUCCAGGCCGAGAUGCAGCAGCGCCAGCAAAUACGGAGACACAAAAUAUUUUUUAAUCUAGGAACCGGGUGCAAAGUUGGGCACCACGGAGACAAAAUAUAUAUUUUUUAAUUUAGGAACUAGGUGCAAAGUUGGGCACUAGGUGCUGGGACAGCACCCAUACAAGAUUAUCUCUAGUGUAUUGCAAUCUCUCCA